rnacentral:rRNA from 1 species
UACGUAGGGUGCAAGCGUUAAUCGGAAUUACUGGGCGUAAAGCGUACGCAGGCGGCUUUGCAAGACAGGUGUGAAAUCCCCGGGCCUAACCUGGGAACUGCAUUUGUGACUGCAUAGCUAGAGUUUGUCAGAGGGGGGUGGAAUUCCACGUGUAGCAGUGAAAUGCGUAGAUAUGUGGAGGAACACCGAUGGCGAAGGCAGCCCCCUGGGAUGUGACUGACGCUCAUGUACGAAAGCGUGGGGAGCAAACAGG